rnacentral:rRNA from 1 species
UAGGAACCGAAAGGCGACGACCUUCGGGAGCUUGCACAGGUGCUGCAUGGCUGUCGUCAGCUCGUGUCGUGAGAUGUUCGGUUAAGUCCGCUAACGAGCGCAACCCUCGCUGUGUGUUACAAGUGUCACACGGUACUGCCGGUCUUAAGCCGGAGGAAGGUGGGGAUGACGUCAAGUCAGCAUGGCCUUUAUGUCCUGGGCUACACACACGCUACAAUGGCCAACACAAUAGGUUGCUAAGCCGCGAGGUGGAGCCAAUCCUCAAAGUUGGUCUCAGUUCAGAUUGCAGGCUGCAACCCGCCUGCAUGAAGAUGGAGUUGCUAGUAACCGCAGGUCAGCUAUACUGCGGUGAAUACGUUCCCGGGGCUU